rnacentral:rRNA from 1 species
GACGAACGCUGGCGGCGUGCUUAACACAUGCAAGUCGAACGGAAAGGCCCUGCUUUUGUGGGGUUCUCGAGUGGCGAACGGGUGAGUAACACGUGAGUAACCUUCCCUUUACUUUGUGAUAACUUCAGGAAACUGGUGCUAAUACCGGAUAGGAGCUCCUGCUGCUUGGUGGUGGUUGGAAAGUUUCGGGGGUUGGGUAUGUACUCGCUGCUUAUCAGCUUGUUUGUGGUGUAGUGGCUUACCAAGGCUUUGACGGGUAGCCGGAAUGAGAGGGUGACCGGCAAAAUUGGGACUGAGAUACGGAGCAGAGUGGUAGGGGAGGAAGCAGGGGGGAAUAUGGCAAAAUGGGGGGAAGGGUGAUGCAGAAAAGCAGGGAGCGGGAUGACGGGCUACGGGUGGUAAACAGCUUUAGAAUGUGAAGAAGAGUGAGUGACGGUAAUGGGAAAAGAAGCAACGGCUAACUACGUG